AGAGUUUGAUCAUGGCUCAGAUUGAACGCUGGCGGUAUGCUUAACACAUGCAAGUCGAACGGUAACAUGGGAGCUUGCUCCCGAUGACGAGUGGCGGACGGGUGCGUAACGCGUAGGAAUCUGCCUAUUAGUGGGGGACAACCUGGGGAAACCCAGGCUAAUACCGCAUACGCCCUACGGGGGAAAGCAGGGGAUCUUCGGACCUUGCGCUAAUAGAUGAGCCUGCGUUAGAUUAGCUAGUUGGUGAGGUAAAGGCUCACCAAGGCGACGAUCUAUAGCUGGUCUGAGAGGACGAUCAGCCACACUGGGACUGAGACACGGCCCAGACUCCUACGGGAGGCAGCAGUGGGGAAUAUUGGACAAUGGGCGCAAGCCUGAUCCAGCAAUACCGCGUGUGUGAAGAAGGCCUGAGGGUUGUAAAGCACUUUCAAUUGGGAGGAAAACAGGCAGGUCAAUAUCCUGUCUCUUGACAUUACCUUUAGAAGAAGCACCGGCUAACUCCGUGCCAGCAGCCGC
rnacentral:rRNA from 1 species